GUAACACACGAAACUGCCGGCUUAAAGGAACUCUCUAUGCAGUAGAAAGAAGGUGGUGGAAGAAGAGAGGAAGGCGUUCGAAGGCACAACAGAGAAAGAGAAUCAGCCCAUUCCUUCUGUGUGUUCCACGUAGUUGUAUUUUAGAGGGCGCUAGUAGAGAUAUUUUUGGGCCUGUUUUGAAAGCGUAGUGAAAUUAGAAACAUCUCGAAAGAAUCUAUGGGAUUGUUCGUAUGUACGCGCGUUCGAGGUUAUGUAUAUAGGCGUUCAUGAUCAUUGGUCCUUUUGGAACGGAGGACAAAGAGUUUUGAAACACCUAGAAAGACAAGCUGACUUGGACAUUGCGGAGUCGACGACACGAUAAAAUUGGUGAAAAAAUUCAUAAGCUACGCGGCCAAGGAUGACGAUGGCCAAUGCAAAAAUACCGUCAGUGAAACGAGGAUUGCUGCAGCCGCAAGAAUUUUUCGAGAACGACCGUUUUCUUCUUCUUCGCGGGUAGUCCACAACGGAAAACGAGCCGCAAUAAACUUUACAACGUGGCCCCGCUGACUCUCGUAUAUUUAUAACUGGUCAUUUCCACGGGGAUCCUCCCGUAAUUUUCGAGUCGAACAAUUCUACACGUCAAUGAUUUUUCUUUUACUUUUUCUUCAUCUUCACUGACUGAAGCUGAUUUUUAUAAUUACAAAAUGAAGAAGAUCUCGAAGAUUUAUAAAUAUCUCUUCUAGCAAAUA